rnacentral:rRNA from 1 species
CAGCAGUCAAGAAUAUUAGUCAAUGCUCGAAAGAGUGAACUAGCUAACUGAAAUCAAUAAAAAAUAAUUGAUAACAUAAGGGAAAAUAAUGAUAUUACCUUAUUAUUAGUGUCGUCCAAAACUGGUGCCAGAAGACUCGGUAAGGCCAGAGACACAAACGUUAAUCGUYUUAAUCAGGCGUAAAGGGUUUGUAGGCAGCUUUAAAAUUUACUUAUAAAAUAAAAAAAAAAAAGUAAAGAAUAAAAGCUAGAAUCAAAUAGAGGAUAUAUGAAAUAAUGUUUAGAGUAGGUCUGAUAUCCUUAGAUACUAAAUAGAAUAUUAAAGGCGAAAGCUUUUUUCCAUUAAUGAUUGACGCUGAGAAACGAAGGUGAGGAUAGGAAAUAGGAUUAGAUACCCAGAAUACCCCUCUCUGUCAACGAUGAAUGGUAGUUAUUAGUAAUAAUUAUUAAUGGCAAUGUUAACACGAUAACCAUUCCGCCUUGUGAGUACAACUGCAAAGUUGAAAACAAAAAAAUUAGUCGGUUUCGGAGCAAA